UCGGGAAUUUUGGGCAAUGGGCGAAAGCCUGACCCAGCAACGCCGCGUGAGGGAUGAAGUAUUUCGGUAUGUAAACCUCGAAAGAAUGGGAAGAAUAAAUGACGGUACCAUUUAUAAGCUCCGGCUAACUACGUGCCAGCAGCCGCGGUAAUACGUAGGGAGCAAGCGUUGCUCGGAUUUACUGGGCGUAAAGGGCGCGUAGGCGGCGCGGUAAGUCACUUGUGAAAUCUCUGAGCUUAACUCAGAAUGGCCAAGUGAUACUGCUGUGCUAGAGUGCGGAAGAGGCAACCGGAAUUCUUGGUGGCGCGGUGAAAUGCGUAGAUAUCAAGAGGAACACCUGAGGCGAAGGCGGGUUGCUGGGCCGACACUGACGCUGAUGCGCGAAAGCCAGGGGAGCAAACG
rnacentral:rRNA from 1 species